rnacentral:rRNA from 1 species
GACGAACGCUGGCGGCGUGCUUAACACAUGCAAGUCGAACGGAAAGGCCCUGCUUUUGUGGGGUGCUCGAGUGGCGAACGGGUGAGUAACACGUGAGUAACCUGCCCUUGACUUUGGGAUAACUUCAGGAAACUGGGGCUAAUACCGGAUAGGAGCUCCUGCUGCAUGGUGGGGGUUGGAAAGUUUCGGCGGUUGGGGAUGGACUCGCGGUUUAUCAGCUGGUUGGUGGGGUAGUGGGUUACCAAGGCUUUGACGGGUAGCCGGCCUGAGGGGGGGACCGGCCCCAUGGGGCUGGGGGAGCGGCCCGUACGCCUCCGGGGGGCAGGGGGGGGGACUUUUGCGAGCAGGGCGGAGGGAGGGAUGAAGAACGCCGGAGGGGGAAUCGCGGCUUUCGGGUAGGAACCCGUUUUUGCGUGACUGGGAACGUGUUGACGGGAACUGGUCAAAAAGCCACGGCUAACUACGUG